AACGAACGCUGGCGGCAGGCUUAACACAUGCAAGUCGAACGCAUCCUUCGGGGUGAGUGGCAGACGGGUGAGUAACGCGUGGGAAUAUGCCCUUCAGUACGGAAUAACUCAGGGAAACUUGUGCUAAUACCGUAUACGCCCUUUUGGGGAAAGAUUUAUCGCUGAAGGAUUAGCCCGCGUCUGAUUAGCUAGUUGGUGGGGUAAUGGCCUACCAAGGCGACGAUCAGUAGCUGGUCUGAGAGGAUGAUCAGCCACACUGGGACUGAGAAACGGCCCAGACGCCUACGGGAGGCAGAAGUGGGGAAUAUUGGACAAUGGGCGCAAGCCUGACCCAGCCAUGCCGCGCGAGUGAUGAAGGCCUUAGGGUUGUAAAGCUCUUUCGUUGGGGAAGAUAAUGACGGUAGUCGGAGAAGAAGCCCCGGCUAACUUCGUGCCAGCAGCCGCCGUAACAC
rnacentral:rRNA from 1 species